GGUAGAGACGCAGCGUACGGCUCAGUAACACGUGGCUAACCUGCCCUUAGGACAGGGACAACCCCGGGAAACUGGGGCUAAUCCCCGAUAAGUGAGGAGGCCUGGAAUGGUUCUUCACUGAAAAGGCGCUGGAACCAUGCUUUUCAACGCCGCCUAAGGAUGGGGCCGCGCCCGAUCAGGUUGUUGGUGAGGUAAUGGCUCACCAAGCCUAUAACCGGUACGGGCCGUGAGAGCGGGAGCCCGGAGAUGGGCACUGAGACAAGGGCCCAGGCCCUACGGGGCGCAGCAGUCGCGAAAACUCCGCAAUGCGCGAAAGCGUGACGGGGCUACCCCGAGUGCCGUCCGCUGAGGAUGGCUUUUCCUUGGUGUAAUGAGCCGGGGGAAUAAGGAGAGGGCAAGACUGGUGUCAGCCGCCGCGGUAAUACCAGCUCUCCGAGUGGUAGGGACGAUUAUUGGGCUUAAAGCGUUCGUAGCCGGCUUAGCAAGUCUCCUGUUAAAUUCAGCGACUUAAUCGUUGAGCCGCGGGAGAUACUACUAGGCUAGGAGGCGGGAGAGGCCGACGGUAUUCCCGGGGUAGGGGUGAAAUCCUAUAAUCCCGGGAGGACCACCAGUGGCGAAAGCUGUCGGCUAGAACGCGCUCGACGGUGAGGGACGAAAGCUGGGGGAGCGAACCGGAUUAGAUACCCGGGUAGUCCCAGCUGUAAACGAUGC
rnacentral:rRNA from 1 species